rnacentral:rRNA from 1 species
AUUGAACGCUGGCGGCAUGCUUUACACAUGCAAGUCGAACGGUAACAGGGUGCUUGCACCGCUGACGAGUGGCGAACGGGUGAGUAAUGCGUCGGAACGUGCCGAGUAGUGGGGGAUAACGCAGCGAAAGUUGUGCUAAUACCGCAUACGUACUGAGGUAGAAAGUGGGGGACCUUCGGGCCUCACGCUAUUCGAGCGGCCGACGUCUGAUUAGCUAGUAGGUGAGGUAAAGGCUCACCUAGGCGACGAUCAGUAACGGGUCGAGGAGGAUGAUCCGCCACACUGGGACUGAGACACGGCGCAGACUCCUACGGGAGGCAGCAGUGGGGAAUUUUGGACAAUGGGCGAAAGCCUGAUCCAGCCAUGCCGCGUGUCUGAAGAAGGCCUUCGGGUUGUAAAGGACUUUUGUCAGGGAGGAAAUCCCUAGUGCUAAUAACACUGGGGGAUGAUGACGGUACCGUAAGAAUAAGCACCGGCUAACUAUGUGCCAGCCGCCGCGGUAA